GACUUCUCCAAACACGUUCUGUCGUUUUCUCUCCCUAAAGGCUCUUUCAAUGGCUGAUUUUCUUUUUCGUUGUUAUUACUGCUAUCGCUGGGCGGUCACUAUAUGACCUCUGAGAAACUGAAUCUUUGGAGGUCUUGAGAACAUGUUGAUCGCUGAGUCCAAGAACAUAGAAAGAAGGGGGAAUCCAUGGGACUCAUCCUCCUUGAAUAAAAGGUAUCCAAUCAACAGCCUCUAACAUAUCCGAUAUUGUUAACGUCAUCUCUCCUGAUUUGUCAUUUUGAUUCAUUUUCUGUUUCUUUUAAUUCAUGCGACGAAAACCUCUUCAUGAUCUCCCAAAGUGAAACUGUGCUACGUCAAAGUUUUAUCUCAUAAUUACUUACCACGUAAUCUAGGAGUUUACUUUUUCUCUUUAGUAUAUUAUAUCAGUCUUGGAUAAAUUACUUUACUUAUAUGGGAUAAGUGUUGCUUUUUUUCCGGAUGCGUCUUCCACCAUUGAUUUCUUGGGAUUGCAAAGAAGAAACGAACAAAGAAAAGGAAUGAAUCUGCAGUUGGGGAAGAAGGAAGUAUAUUUAACUUCAGAUUUUUCCUGGUAAUCAACUUCUUAAAUGUUUUCCCCUUACUUUCAGUUUUAACAGUCCAUGUGAAUAUGUGAUCACAUUUUCACCUUCUCUGCUAAUUCUUUGAUUCUAUAACGUAGAGUUGGAAUAUGAGAUCAGAUCGUAAUAGAAUUUUUUUAAUGUGCUAUUCUUGACUACCAAUGCUGCCUUUUCCUGAAUUCAGCAAAAGACGGUGCCCUCCACUUCAAUUCGUUAAUCUCAAGAAAACAAAAUAUGCUAUGGGUAUUCAAUAAAGCUUCUGAAGUUUAUUAUUAACAUAACUGAUAAAAGUUUCAUUUUAAAUACAGGUUGCUUGAAUGGAGUUCAGAGUUCUUUCAAACAAGCUAGAACUCAGUUCCUCUUGAAAGCAAAGGAGAUUCAAGAUUAUAUAGAUAGUAAACACCGAGGAGAAUAUAACAUUAUUUACUCCUUUUGUUACAAGAUCAAAUCGCUAAAGUAGGGGAUUUGAUUUAUAUUCUUUUGGAUCAUAAUGAAAAUAGGUCCUUAUAUAUCUAAGGAGACCUCUGUUACAGGUUCCCCAAAAAAAAAGACCUCUGUUUCAUUUCUGUAAAUGAUAAACACUUGAUGCAUCAGAGUUCUGGAUUUUUUUGUGACUACAAAGAGGCAAAGCUGAAGUAGCCAAACAAUUCAUCUCCCACGAUCUAAAUAAAACAGCUCCUAAAUUUCUUCGUACAGUUUAACGGUGUGAAUAAUAAAUUUGUAUGAUAGUAUUUGUUUUUAUCCAAAUUCUUAAUCUCUUAGUCCUAAUUUUUUUAAUAGAGCAUAUGCUCUUUUAUAUGCACCUCAUCAAAACAUAUCCAAAUAAACUCUAAUGCUUAUUUGUC